CCGAGUAUGCCUUCGGCGAUCUCCAACCCUCUGUGAUACAUACAUAUUACUGUUGCUUGGCGGGCUCCGCCAGCUGCCGCGUAACGGCUGGUACGUGCCCGCCAGAGGACUACCCUAACAAUUAUGUUUUCGUGAACUGAGUAAAAAAUAUUAAAUAUUA
rnacentral:misc_RNA from 1 species